rnacentral:lncRNA from 1 species
CUUUUCUACAACAGAUUUUGGAUAUUGAUCAGUAAUAGAAAUUGACGAACUUUUCAACUUGUAACUCCUUUUACGAACACUGUCACGUUUCUGCCUGUCACUAAAUUUCACCAAUAUAGGCCGUAUACGUUCCUGACCCUCAUUUUGACUCAAUACUGCUACCUCAUUUUUUUUACCAAGACGAAAGGCAGAUUUUAUGUUUAAUUCAUCCUCAAUUUCUAGGUUGAUUUCACACAUACUUUUAAUAAUAAGAGCACAAUCUUCUCCUUCACUUUCCUUUAUUCCACGAAAAAGCAAAUAAUUACGCAUGGAUUCACACUUAAUAGAUUCAAGAUCAUUG